rnacentral:rRNA from 1 species
CCCAGACUCCUACGGGAGGCAGCAGUGGGGGAUAUUGCACAAUGGGGGGAACCCUGAUGCAGCGACGCCGCGUGGGUGAAGGAGCGUUUCGGCGCGUAAAGCCCUAUCGGCAGGGAAGAAGGAGGACGGUACCUGACUAAGAAGCCCCGGCUAACUACGUGCCAGCAGCCGCGGUAAUACGUAGGGGGCAAGCGUUAUCCGGAUUUACUGGGUGUAAAGGGGGCGCAGGCGGCAGCGCAAGCCAGGAGUGAAAGCCCGGGGCCCAACCCCGGGACUGCUCUUGGAACUGCGCGGCUGGAGUGCAGGAGGGGCAGGCGGAAUUCCUGGUGUAGCGGUGAAAUGCGUAGAUAUCAGGAGGAACACCGGUGGCGAAGGCGGCCUGCUGGACUGCGACUGACGUUGAGGCCCGAAAGCGUGGGGAGCAAACAGGAUUAGAUACCCUCGUAC